GACGAAGGGGGCAAGCGUUGUUCGGAAUUACUGGGCGUAAAGGGCGCGUAGGCGGUCAUAUAAGUUGAAUGUGAAAUCCCUGGGCUUAACCUAGGAACUGCAUGCAAGACUGUAUGACUAGAGUGCUGUAGAGGGUAGUGGAAUUUCCGGUGUAGCGGUGAAAUGCGUAGAUAUCGGAAGGAACACCAGUGGCGAAGGCGGCUACCUGGACAGACACUGACGCUGAGGCGCGAGAGCGUGGGGAGCAAACAGG
rnacentral:rRNA from 1 species